AGGAAAAAAAGGACCUGCCUACUACGAGAUAAUUCGUAGCGUUCUUUCCCAGACGCCAACUUCGAGAUAACUCGUAGGUCCUUUUUCUCCUUAAAAAACAUCAUUUUUGAUUUUUGACGAUACCAAUGAUCUAGAAAUAGAGUUUUUUAGUAAUAUAAUGUGAAAAAAUCAAAAUGUCAUUUUUGGACAGUUUUCAGAAAAUGGCCUUGGCAGUCAACGUGUUAAUAUACGUUGGGACAAAAGAAUCCUAAAGCGCCAACCGAAGAAAGUACCGGUAAUAUUAAAGAUGAAGAAAAUAUUAAAUAUUAUUAUUGUUUGUUACAAGUUGUAUAGCGGCAGCGCCGGAAUUACCGGAAAUAUUAAAAAAAAAAAAUAUUAAAAUUAUGGAACAAAACAGUUCUACAGCGACAGCCGAAGAAAUUACCGGCAAAUAUUAUUUUAGAAAAAUAUUUUUCUCCAAAUUAAAAAGAGUUUAAAAAACCGACAAAUGAAUUUUGCAAUUAUUUAAUGCUAAGUCAUACUCUGAAUAUGAAAUUCAUUUACAAAGUAACAGUAAAAAAAAGGAAAUGAAAAUGGAAAGUAGUUGAAAAAACUUCAUUCAGAAAUACAGGGUUGUUAUUUUGAACAGAUAAAAGGGUUUAAAUUCGUACAACGACACACUCCCCGGUUUGCUGUAAACAAUAUCCAUCCAUUGGUUACAAAUUCGUUGAUGAAAAAAUUGAAAAAACCUUUUGGAUUUGUCAACAUGAAAAUAUCAGUAUAAAAAUUAGAAUUUUAUAAAGAAGAAUUAGAGUUUUAGGUUUAUAUUGUGGUAAGAAACACAAUAAAAGCUGUUGCCAAGAAAAUGGAAACAAUUUUUGAAUUUAAAAACCAAAAAACAAUAGAACUCUGAAGCUUUUUAGGCAUGAUUGGCUGCUAUCGAAAAGUUUUCAAGAUUAUGCAGCAGUUGCAAAACCCUUAACAACCUUGUUACCUAGCGAAAAUGGCCAUGUUUCACAACACAUGUCAAAGAAAAUUUAAAUAUAUUUUAAGAAAGAUGCACUUUCAGCAUUUGAAAAGCUAAAGAAGUUGCUUAUAAACUAAACUUAGUUAGUUAAACCAGAUUUCAAAAAAAAAAUGUGUUGUAACAACUGAUGUGUCAAAUAUCACAAAAUGAUAAACCUUUUACUUUUAUUUCUAAAUCAGAGUCGAAUGUUGUUAUUUAUAAAUACACAAACCAUUUUUAAUAGUUUCAUUUCAGUUUUGCUAUUUUAUAAAUAUAAUUAUUAUUAAAAAGUCAGAUGCGUACAAAACUAUAUAUGCGUAUUGAGAAAUGGCAACAUUGUUCAAAUUGUUGCCAGUACGGGUUCAACUGUUGAUAAAUUUUGUUCACAUUCGCUUGUUGUACUUUUAGAAUUUUAUAUCGAUCAUCAACAUUUAUAUUUUGCUGUGUCAUCCAAAAAUCCCAAUGUAAAAACGAAAAAGUGGCAUGCUAUAAUCGAAGAAUUCGCAACAAAAAUAGUUUACAAGCUUGGAAGCUGAAGGAAGAAGGCAGUCGAGUGAAGUGCGCACAUAGAUUUUGUCUUGGCACUUACCGGAAGUCCAGAGGAUUCAAGUGGAUAAUAAAUAUAGUUGAGAAAUAGCUAAGUACAAUUUGUUUUAAAUAAAAAUUCAUUUGUACAUACCUGUA